rnacentral:rRNA from 1 species
GACGAACGCUGGCGGCGUGCCUAAUACAUGCAAGUCGAACGAGAGCGACCGGUGCUUGCACUGGUCAAUCUAGUGGCGAACGGGUGAGUAACACGUGGGCAACCUGCUCAUCAGAGGGGGAUAACAUCCGGAAACGGAUGCUAAAACCGCAUAGGUCUUCGAGCCGCAUGGCUUGAAGAGGAAAAGAGGCGCAAGCUUCUGCUGAUGGAUGGACCCGCGGUGCAUUAGCUAGUUGGUGAGGUAACGGCUCACCAAGGCCGUGAUGCAUAGCCGACCUGAGAGGGUGAUCGGCCACAUUGGGACUGAGACACGGCCCAAACUCCUACGGGAGGCAGCAGUAGGGAAUCUUCCGCAAUGGACGCAAGUCUGACGGAGCAACGCCGCGUGAGUGAAGAAGGUUUUCGGAUCGUAAAACUCUGUUGUUAGAGAAGAACAAGUGCUAGAGUAACUGUUAGCGCCUUGACGGUAUCUAACCAGAAAGCCACGGCUAACUACGUG